rnacentral:sRNA from 1 species
GAUCAGCUGGCGGGCGGGCGGGAGCCGAGCGCGGCCCCGGCUCUCGCUGCAGCGCCGCCUCUUCUCUGCGUCGCAGGCCGGCCCGGCGGCCGUGACAAUGUCGCGGGGCUGGUAGCAGGGCGCCGGCCGCCGAGCCGUCUCAAGUUUAAACUUACACGAAUCGCUUUCUGGAGGAGGAGGGGACCCGCCGCGCGAUUGACACGCAUAUUCCUAUAGGCAUCCUCCCUCAGCCCCCACCCCCACGGCCGGAUUCGGGUGGCUCCUCUCCGAGGUGAAAUCCGAGAAGAAAUCCUUGGAUCUCUUUUCUUUUAAAAAAAAAAAAAAAAAAAAAAUUCUAGAAACCAUCGGUAUUUUGCUUUGCUGCUCCCUAUUCGCAAGAUGAAGAAGUUUUUCGACUCCCGGCGAGAGCAGGGCGGCUCUGGCCUGGGCUCCGGCUCCAGCGGAGGAGGGGGCAGCACCUCGGGCCUGGGCAGUGGCUACAUCGGAAGAGUCUUUGGCAUCGGGCGACAGCAGGUCACAGUGGACGAGGUGUUGGCGGAAGGUGGAUUUGCUAUUGUAUUUCUGGUGAGGACAAGCAAUGGGAUGAAAUGUGCCUUGAAACGCAUGUUUGUCAACAAUGAGCAUGAUCUCCAGGUGUGCAAGAGAGAAAUCCAGAUAAUGAGGGACCUUUCAGGGCACAAGAAUAUUGUGGGUUACAUUGAUUCUAGUAUCAACAACGUGAGUAGCGGUGAUGUAUGGGAAGUGCUCAUUCUGAUGGACUUUUGUAGAGGUAUGUAUAUGAACCAUUCCCUUAAGCUGUCAUUUCUCUAGCAUUUUGAUUGUCAUGGUUAGGGGGGUCAUUUCACUUAAUGUGCACUGCACUCUAUGGUAUGUUCUGGUUUGACAGAUGAGAAAACUAAAAGAUACAGUCUGCUGUCAACUCUUAGUUAUUCUUAUAAUGGUACAAAUGUAGAUAAUAUAAAACUC